rnacentral:rRNA from 1 species
CGGAGGAUCCGAGCGUUAUCCGGAUUUAUUGGGUUUAAAGGGUGCGUAGGCGGCCUGUUAAGUCAGGGGUGAAAGACGGUAGCUCAACUAUCGCAGUGCCCUUGAUACUGAUGGGCUUGAAUGUACUAGAGGUAGGCGGAAUGUGACAAGUAGCGGUGAAAUGCAUAGAUAUGUCACAGAACACCAACUGCGAAGGCAGCUUACUAUGGUAUUAUUGACGCUGAGGCACGAAAGCGUGGGGAUCAAACAGGAUUAGAUACCCUGGUAGUCCACGCCCUAAACGAUGAAUACUCGAUGUUAGCGAUAUACAGUUAGCGUCAAAGCGAAAGCGUUAAGUAUUCCACCUGGGGAGUACGCCCGCAAGGGUG